UAAGAGAGGUGCAAACAUUAUUCGGAUUUACUGGGGGUAAAGGGUGCGUAGACGGCAUAGUAAGUCAACUGUUAAAUUUUCCGGCCUAACCGGAAGCCAGCAGUAGAAACUACUAAGCUAGAGGAUGGAAGAGAGAAGUGGAAUUCUCGGAGUAGCGGUAAAAUGCGUAGAUCUCGAGAGGAACACCGAUGGCGAAAGCAGCUUCUUGUUCCAUAUCUGACGUUGAGGCACGAAAUCGUGGGGAGCAAACAGG
rnacentral:rRNA from 1 species